rnacentral:rRNA from 1 species
UUCCGUAGGUGAACCUGCGGAAGGAUCAUUACAUUCAGUAGAUUUCUACUGCUGAGAAAGGGCGGAAAGUGACCCCAGUUGCCUUUGGUAGCUGGCUAACAAGUACGCCCUUUGUCUGUACCCUUGUCUUUUUGCGUACUCAUGUUUCCUCGGCAGGCUUGCCUGCCGGCCGGACAACCUAAAAACCUUUUCAAUUUUCAAUCAGCGUCUGAAUAAUUAUAAUAAUUACAACUUUCAACAACGGAUCUCUUGGUUCUGGCAUCGAUGAAGAACGCAGCGAAAUGCGAUAAGUAGUGUGAAUUGCAGAAUUCAGUGAAUCAUCGAAUCUUUGAACGCACAUUGCGCCCCUUGGUAUUCCAUGGGGCAUGCUUGUUCGAGCGUCAUUUGUACUCUCAAGCUUUGCUUGGUGUUGGGUGUUUGUCCUUUCCUCUGCGUUUGGACUCGCCUUAAAUUCAUUGGCAGCCAAUAUACUGGUUUGAAGCGCAGCACAAUUUGCGGUUCUUUCUAGCAUUAUUGCAUCCAUUAAGUAUAUUUAACACUUUUGACCUCGGAUCAAGUAGGGAUACCCGCUGAAC